UACAGAUGGUGCGAUCGUAAAUCGGAAUUACUGGGCGUAAAGCGCACGUAGGUGGCGACGUAAGUCGGGUGUGAAAGCCCCGGGCUCAACCUGGGAAUUGCAUUCGAGACUGCAUUGCUGGAGUACGGAAGAGGAGGGCGGAAUUCCCGGUGUAGCGGUGAAAUGCGUAGAUAUCGGGAGGAACAUCAGUGGCGAAGGCGGCCCUCUGGUCCAGUACUGACACUCAAGUGCGAAAGCGUGGGGAGCAAACAGG
rnacentral:rRNA from 1 species